UACAGAGGGUGCGAGCGUUGUCCGGAAUCACUGGGCGUAAAGGGCGCGUAGGUGGCGACCCAAGUCCGUGGUGAAGGCUCGUCGCUUAACGACGAGUCGGCCACGGAGACUGGGUGGCUCGAGCACUGUAGGGGUAGAUGGAAUUCCGGGUGUAGCGGUGGAAUGCGUAGAGAUCCGGAAGAACACCAGUGGCGAAGGCGGUCUGCUGGGCAGUUGCUGACACUGAGGCGUGAAGGCGUGGGGAGCGAACGGG
rnacentral:rRNA from 1 species